CACGUAUGGCUUGCAUCGAUGCGAUAAGAGAGGAAGUUAAAGGGAAAGAAACCUAAACUCUAGAGAUCUGAUCUAGGGGGAGGUCUGCUGACCAGGAGGGAGAACAGGGGCCACGCAGAAGGGAUUCUUCAGUGCUCUACAUCAGAGCCAGGCCAAACAAAAAACAUGACAUUGAAUUCAUGACUAAUCACAAUGGUACACAGUUUACUACCUAAGUUACUUCUCUCCAGAGUGGGCUUCGGUUGUAUGCUUGAAUUGGCUCUGUGUGCUAGUCUACAAGGGUGGGGUGGGGAAAAUUUAGGGACCAGAGACAUGUCAUAGUGGGGAGAGAUGCUGGCAAUGUGAUGGGUAACUGCCCAAGGCUGCUCCAGCCCCAAGGGGCAGUGGCGGCCAUUGCUUUUGAUGGGGAAGGAUCUUCUCACAGCGCCAUCUCUGAGGUUUCUAGUCUUUGGCUGGGAUUUACAAGGAUGAGAGGGUACCAUGGAUUAAAUCAGAAGAUCACUUUUCCUAUCAGAGGUUAAACUUCCAGAUAUGAGAGAUGGGCAUCGUCUUCCUAGCUCAUCCAAUAGAAGCUUAGCAAUAAAACAAAGGGCUCUGACAGAACGUGAGGCUGAUGCCGGGACUAGCUAAGCACCAGAAUGAAUUCCAGCUGGAUGGCGGGACACCUGGGUGGUGAGCAUGCUGGCGUUUGUCUUACUUCGUCUGUAGUGGCUGAUGGUGAAUAAAAACAAGCAGACCCACCUCAUCCUUAUCCAUGAGAUGUGACUCAGGUACCCUUUUCUACACUGUCCCCCUCAUGCUUGAAAUAGCCUUCCCUGCCCCUCUAAGUGGCCAACUUGUAAUGGAACCCUCGCCAGGCAGGUGAACCGGACUGCACUGCUGUCCGCUGUCGCACCGGGAAAGGACUGUGGGAGAACAAGGGAGGCACAUCCAUUUCUGAGCAGGUUGGUAGCUUGGGAGAUCAGAGGGGUGGUUGCGCUAAGUGAAAUGAAACGUGGACGAGAGUUACUUAGGCCUUUCUCUCAAGUCAACAGUAAGGAGGUGAGGAUUUUGAAAAAAGGGAGCUAGAAAUGCUGGGACGUGUGAGACGUGCUUCAAAAUAAUCUAGGAUUAGGAGGAGCAGAUGAAAGACCGCUGAAGCUGGGUGAUGGGUCCAUGAGGUUUGUGGUACUGUUUUCUCUACUUUUGUACAUAACUGAACUCUUCCAUAGCAAAACAUUCAAACCUUACUCCUAAAACCUUUGAGAUUAUGUUGGGGUUUCAGUCCAGGGAAAGGAAAGAUCUCUGGCAAGUACGAGGGGGCACAUGAGAGGGUAGGACAGUGGCAUGUGGAACAGGGCAGGAAGGAAGCACCCGGGGUAGUGUGAAUGGCAGGCGGGGGGGCACACCAGCAUCACUGAGAGGACCUGAGUGGUCCCUGGGCAGGCCAUGGGCACAAAUGAGGUACCUGACUGGCUCAAGCUCUAACCACCUGAGGAGAGUCAGGAGACAUGCUCUGGAAAAACAGGGCAAGAAGCAAUGCCGU